AACCGGUCUACUAUUUAACACAUCUAACGCCCAUGUAUUAAUAAAUUAAGGAUGUUCUAAGUGUAUAAAUAGAUGAAAAUUUGAAGAUGUAAACACUACGUUGAAGACCUAGGACAAACCCUUCACACACUCUAGUUCUGUUCUGAUAAGAACUGUUUCGAACAACAUGGCAUCUUUGAACAUCUUGUUGUUUACCGCCUUGCUCGYUCUGUUGUUCGUUACUUGCUAUGGGUUUAGACUUCAGAAAGAUCUCGAAAAUGAAUUCGAAGGUAACUCUAAGGAAUUUGAAGAUUCACAAAAGGCAAUUCCAGUUAGACCAGGCAAACGGGAGUCUUCAUUUUACAGGAUGUUAAACGAUCCACAAUACAAUGUAAUCCCCGUCAGACCAGGCAAACGARGGUAAGUAGUCUCGAGAAAUUAACUUUCCCACAAACAAAAUUUUAAUAGCAUUAAACCACGAAAGGGCUAUGCCAAAACAAUGUCCCAAACAGUAGGGACCUGAUUUUAUUACACAUUAUGGUCGAUAUCCUUAUGAUAAAGCUUUGAAGUAAAACCCCUUUCAGUGAAGUGAUACGAUAUUACUUCAUGGUAAACUGGAAACUGCAAAUUUUGUCAGCUUCUCUCGACCUUAAAUGUGUAAUAAACAAUUUCAGUAUUACAUGUUAAAAGCCUGAUUUUUUUUAUUCACUCGUUUUCCAUAUAAUAUCGCGAACGAGCAAGUCCAUCAUUAACCCCCGUCCUUCAGGAACCUGUUGAAAURCUCUAUGUACUGCAUCAUGCCGAAAGUGACUAUUUCUAUGCACGAAUGCGUCGUUUAGCAUACAUGCAGGCAUAUAGUACUGCGUAAGGCGUUCUGCAAUUUGACUUUUAGUCUUGGAGAUAAUCCAGAAUUUUACUUGCAGUGGGUAGCACCGGAUAAUGCUACUCCUCCAUCCCCACCCCUCCCCUCUAAAUCUGGUCCCGUAAGAUGACUUAAAGUUUUGACUUUAUCCAAAAAAUUAAAGGAUUCAGGAGCCUAUGAAACCACCCCUCCCCCUUCCUUUCUCCCUCCCACUUCACCGAAACCCUCUGCUCURUACUCUAACUUUCAAUCUCUUUUCUUUUUCCCCUGAUGUCAGAGCUGAGCCAAAUGAUGCAAGUCCACAAUGGCCUGACCAKUACUCAACCUUUCGUCCAGGCAGAAAGUAAAUGACAGUUUUUCUUCCACGAUAAGAUGGUCGGCUUAAAUCAGAAGAUGACACGAGCUUGAAAAGGAAACUAGAUAAACUAGAAUCAAGAAAUAAGUGAAAAGAAUGGUUCAUGUAUUUUUAAUAGAUACAAAACAAAGCGUUUCAAAUAGUACAAUGAGUUUAGUGUAUUUCCGGUCAAAAUAAAAUUUAACGCCAAUAAGAAUUCCCUAGCUACGUUUGUUGAGAACAAGCGUAUUAUUGAGCUAUAGAACUGGCAGAUUGAUCAUUCAUCGCAUAUUAAAUAUUAUUUUGAAGGCGA